UAGGGAAUCUUCCACAAUGGACGCAAGUCUGAUGGAGCAACGCCGCGUGAGUGAAGAAGGUCUUCGGAUCGUAAAGCUCUGUUGUUGGUGAAGAAGGAUAGAGGCAGUAACUGGUCUUUAUUUGACGGUAAUCAACCAGAAAGUCACGGCUAACUACGUGCCAGCAGCCGCGGUAAUACGUAGGUGGCAAGCGUUGUCCGGAUUUAUUGGGCGUAAAGCGAGCGCAGGCGGAAUGAUAAGUCUGAUGUGAAAGCCCACGGCUCAACCGUGGAACUGCAUCGGAAACUGUCAUUCUUGAGUGCAGAAGAGGAGAGUGGAACUCCACGUGUAGCGGUGGAAUGCGUAGAUAUAUGGAAGAACACCAGUGGCGAAGGCGGCUCUCUGGUCUGCAACUGACGCUGAGGCUCGAAAGCAUGGGUAGCGAACAGGAUUAGAUACCCUGGUAGUCCAUGCCGUAAACGAUGAGCGCUAGGUGUUGGGGACUUUCCGGUCCUCAGUGCCGCAGCAAACGCAUUAAGCGCUCCGCCUGGGGAGUACGACCGCAAGGUUGAAA
rnacentral:rRNA from 1 species